GACACGGUGGCACAGUGGUCAAGUGUGCUUGACUUGAGAUCAAAAAGUCCUGAGUUCAAAUCCUUGUCAUGCCU